UGGGGAAUAUUGGACAAUGGGCGAAAGCCUGAUCCAGCCAUGCCGCGUGUGUGAAGAAGGUCUUCGGAUUGUAAAGCACUUUAAGUUGGGAGGAAGGGCAGUUACCUAAUACGUGAUUGUUUUGACGUUACCGACAGAAUAAGCACCGGCUAACUCUGUGCCAGCAGCCGCGGUAAUACAGAGGGUGCAAGCGUUAAUCGGAAUUACUGGGCGUAAAGCGCGCGUAGGUGGUUUGUUAAGUUGGAUGUGAAAUCCCCGGGCUCAACCUGGGAACUGCAUUCAAAACUGACUGACUAGAGUAUGGUAGAGGGUGGUGGAAUUUCCUGUGUAGCGGUGAAAUGUGUAGAUAUAGGAAGGAACACCAGUGGCGAAGGCGACCACCUGGACUAAUACUGACACUGAGGUGCGAAAGCGUGGGGAGCAAACA
rnacentral:rRNA from 1 species